rnacentral:tRNA from 1 species
AAAUAAGAAACAAAAUUUUGUAAUUAGUUUCGACCUAACCUUUGAUGUUUAAUCAUCCUUAUUUA